rnacentral:snRNA from 1 species
AUGCUCACUUCAGAGCAUAAACACUAAAUAUUGAGUAAGACAAAGAAAAUUAGCAUGACCCCUAUACAACGAUGACACGCAAACUCAUGAGGCAUUCCAUAUAAAA